UCAUCCGCUCAAGAGAAAAAAAAACACAACACUGCUAUCGCUUUGUCCUCUCUCCCUUAUCUCUUUCUCUUCCGAUCUGAGCGGCGGCGGCGACGCUCGCAUCCGGCGACGGUUCCACCACUCCGCCCAUCUCUUCCUCCCACCACUCCGUCCAUCUCUUCCUCCCACCACUCCAUCACCAUCCCCACAUCGCUGCUGAUUUCCCAUGUUGAGGUGGUCCUGCAGCGCCGAUGCCCUCACCCAGCUGCCGGUGGCGGCGCUUUUUGUUCGUGCCCAAGCGCUCGGUGAGGUCACCUCUCACCUCCCUCCUAUGGUGCCACCGCCCCAAGCCCCCAACCCAUACGCAGCUCCCUCUUCCCCACUCCCAUUGUUGCAGAUCUGAGCGGGACAAGGUCUCUUCGGCCCUGGUGGUUCGGAACGAGGUGUGCGGCCUCUGCUCCCUUAACUUCUGGAGACUAGGGGCGCGGUGGCUGGUGCCCCAUCUCUCUUAGCCAUCCACAGCAGCAACAACAUCAGGUCAAACAAACUUUCAUAGGUUUGGUGGAUGUUUGGGCAAUUACUCAACUACUAACAAAAGGCCACUCGAUGAUUUUUAUACCUGCAUCACAUCAAGUGGAUUUGGAUAGCACACAAGCUGGCAUGGUCUUCAUCGUGGGUUCAAUCUCCACACGAGUGGAGUGGCCUCUGCCUUGUGCCGCAGCUGCGGACGGGCAGAGGAGACGACGACGUAGGGCACACGGAGCCAGCAACCCUAGAAGCCAUGAUGCCCGCGAACAAAAUUACCUGAAGGAUAGGAAACAGACUACCUGAUCUCACGGAUGCAUGUAGUCUUUUUUUCCUGAUGCGUACAACAAGCGAUCAGGGCAUCAAGGGAUGCUUUCUCACAUUGGGCGUUUGAGCUGGAAAAUUCGUGCUAGGCCAUUAGUGUCAAACACUAAAAGAAACCAGAAUAUUCGAUAGAGAACUCAGCAAUCAAACCUACGUACAUGUUAACAUGUGAGGGUGCAACCGAAUAGCUGUACAUGAAUCUGGAACAAGAGGAAGAACCGAGCAUUCUUCAAGAAGCUGCUUCUAUUCGUGCACAAUGGCGUCGUAGUCAGUUUGCAGGGUUCAAUUGACACAUGGUGUGUAAGCAUUUGCCUAUCUACCUAAAGGGUAUGCUGGAGGGUUGCCAACAUCAAUGUGCUAUGUGCUGCAGAAAUGGAUUUUCAAAAACCUCUAGCACAUGGUGUCCUAGGAAUUCCUGGAUAUGUCGACCUGCUAGCUCAUUAUCAGGAAAAAUAGGCAAGAAGACGAGGAAACAUGAAGACGGUGGUUUGUGUAAAUGGGAUAUUUUGUGUAAUGGUGACUGAAUCGUUGGAGAUGCACUUUAUAUAUCAUUUUGUAAACUCGCAUUGUGUCUGACAAAAUGAACCAUAUUGUAAUGGAUGAAGUAUUUACAUCUGAAAUUAAUUAAUGUGUUAUUGUUUGGUUA